ACAGGUGGCUGCAUGGCUGUCGGUCAGCUCGUGUCGUGAGAUGUUGGGUUAAGUCCGUAACGAACGCAACCCUGUCCUUAGUUACCAGCACGUUAUGGUGGGCACUCUAAGGAGACUGCCGGUGACAAACCGAGGAAGGUGGGGAUGACGUCAAGUCAUCAUGGCCCUUACGGCCUGGGCUACACACGUGCUACAAUGGUCGGUACAAAGGGUUGCCAAGCCGCGAGGUGGAGCUAAUCCCAUAAAACCGAUCGUAGUCCGGAUCGCAGUCUGCAACUCGACUGCGUGAAGUCGGAAUCGCUAGUAAUCGUGAAUCAGAAUGUCACGGUGAAUACGUUCCCGGGCCCU
rnacentral:rRNA from 1 species